CAGCCGCCGCGGUAAUACGAAGGGUGCAAGCGUUAAUCGGAAUUACUGGGCGUAAAGGGUGCGUAGGCGGUUGUUUAAGUCUGUUGUGAAAUCCCCGGGCUCAACCUGGGAAAGGCAAUGGAAACUGGACGGCUAGAGUGUGUCAGAGGAUGGUGGAAUUCCCGGUGUAGCGGUGAAAUGCGUAGAGAUCGGGAGGAACAUCAGUGGCGAAGGCGGCCAUCUGGGACAACACUGACGCCGAAGCACGAAAGCGUGGGGAGCAAACAGGAUUAGAUACCCCCGUAGUCCCUGUCUCUUAUAC
rnacentral:rRNA from 1 species